CGUCUUGUUCCAGAGCCCCAUGUCCGAGUCCGGUUCGGAGAACAGGAAGUUCAAGUGUAAUCAGUGUGGAAAGGCUUUUAAAUACAAGCAUCACCUCAAAGAGCACCUGCGCAUUCACAGCGGUGAGAAGCCGUACGAAUGCUCGAGCUGUAAGAAGCGUUUCAGUCACUCGGGCUCCUACAGCUCACACCUCAGCAGUAAGAAGUGCCUCAGCGGCGGCACGCUGGGAAACGGAGCUCAUUAUAACGGGUACCUCUUCCCGUCGCCCACAUCGCCCCCUGCUGUCAGCGGGAGGAACAGCAGCCGAGGGAAGAGAUCUCCGUACGGGCCGCUGGCUCAGUUCCCGCUGGAGUCGUCUGUUCCCGUCCUGAGCCGGUCGUGGGACCCGGCGGAGGAUCUGGCGCUCAGGGCGGGUGUGUUUAAGGGCACCACGCUGCUGCCGCUGCUACAGUCACGCAGCAAAUUCGAGCAUCUGCUGCAGGAGAUGCUGCGGAGGGAGGUGGGAGAUGAGAAACAAGCUAACAACUCUCGGCGAACAGUGACACCCAGACGUCGCCCACCACCAAUCACUCGCCCUAUAGAGAGCUCUCGCCGGCGCAGCGAACAUCCUGGCAUUCUGUGCCACAGCAGAUCCUCGUGCCUUUACCGCCCCAGCGCAGCUGGAUAAUCGCUGGCCGAGCGAAGAAAGCGUCAGCCCGAUGUCACCCGCUUUACCUGAACGCCAGCAUCUGAUUGGCUCGCGCUUCGGCUCUCCUUCAAGGGUGGACCUGUCUAUCAACACAUCACCACGGCAACCAAACCAUAUUCAAAGCGAGCCUUUAGACUUGUCAAUUCCUAAACUGCAUUCGGUCCAUAACGCAUCACGGAAUCCGGCGUGUAACGGUUACUCGCUGCAUCACGACAGACGCGACGGCGAGGGCGUGUUCACGAGACUGACUCCGCCCUCACAGCAGCAUGUGGGCGGAGCUUAUGCGGCGUCGCCGCUGUUCAGCAGCACAUUGUUCAGCAGCUUCCCGGUCUUCAAUCACAUGAUCCCCGCCGGUCUGGGACACAACGGUCUGACGUCACUUCCUCUCACGCCAACCUCACCAAAUACAGGCUUCCUGUCUCCAGUGGCGUAUAUGGUGGAGGCGGAGUCAGAAUCAGUGCUUAAGAGAAUGCAACAUGAAAAACAUUCGUUCAUGACUGAAGCGCUGAGCCGCGGCGCUCUGGAGUAUCUGUGUCUGAUGGAGGAUGGGAUGGAUGGAGAGAUCAGUCCUGGGAGGAAGAGGCUGAAAGAAGACGGAGGAAGGACUGUACGCCUGCGACAUCUGCGACAAAACCUUCCAGAAGAGCAGCUCUCUGCUGCGCCAUAAAUAUGAGCACACAGGGAAGAGACCUCACGAGUGUGUGAUCUGUAAGAAGGCGUUCAAACACAAGCAUCAUCUGAUUGAACACAGCCGCCUGCACUCCGGAGAGAAGCCGUAUCAGUGCGACAAGUGCGGCAAACGCUUCUCACACUCGGGCUCGUACUCGCAGCACAUGAACCACCGCUACGCCUUCUGCAGCCGCGACAGCGACCCGGACGCCGACCCCCAGCCGAGCCCCGUCACAGAGUCACACGACUGCAGCUCGGAGGACGAGAACACGCUCGCAGAAACACUUAUGAGAGAGACCAGCCGACAGACGGAGAGCAGACGCUCCUUCAGUGCUCACCAAAGAUGUGAAACAAACACAAUCGAUCGAUCAAUGCCAAGCUUCUCAGAAAACCUGACAAAGUCAUACUUCACAUCAAAACAACACAAAUUAAAUAUCAAAAAGAUUUAGAAAGUAUUGUGAUGCACAUGUAUAUGCACCAUGCCUAAAAAGAAUUGCAAUAUAUUACAAUCUGAAAUGGUUUCGAAAGGAGGCCUUUUCUUUUUCUUUUUCUUUAUGCGAAAUAGAAUUACAAAAAAAAAUUAAUUCUUCUAAGAAUGUGUCAAAUUUCAACAAAAAAAUCAUAAAAAUACAUAAAUAUGAAAUUAGAUUUUACAUAAAGAAAAUGUGCCUGUUUUUGGAAAAAUAUUUAAUAUUUUUCAUACUGGCGUUUAGAUUCGUAUUAGCAUAACGAAAAGAAUUAAUAAACAAAAUAAAAAUCUAAUUAUUGUAAUGCACAUUAUAUUUAUAUUGAAUUUGUUAUGAGGCUUAAUAAAAAAAUACAUAUAUAUAUAUAUAUAUAUAUUCUGCAAAGAAUGUGUUAAAAGUCAUGGUUCACACCAAAGUAAUAAAUAAAUAAAUAAAAUAUUAAAUAUUUUGCAUAAAGAAGAUAUGCCUGUUCUUUAAGAUUUUUUAAUUACUUAUAAGGAAAAAAAUAAUAAAUAAAAAUACAAAUAAAUAAAUUAUAUAUAUAAAUAUAUAUAAUUUUUUUAAAUUAAUUUAUUUUUCUGUUACAAUUGGAGUGAAAUAUGACCCAGAAGUUUUCCUGAAAUUGAGGCAUUUUAAGAGCUCAGGAGCCGUUAUUAACACAAGACAGUAGUGAAAUCUGAAAUAUUCCAGUAUAAUUAUUGAGCAGCAGUAAUCAAGCGCUAAUUAAUGACCGGUUUAUGGUCUCCUCCGUCAUAAUGAUCUCAAACUGCACUAGAACUCAUCAUCCAACACAGAUUUGACUUUCUUCUUCAUCAACUCAACAAACACACGCCAAGUAUUUGCACAAACCCUGAUGCACCAAAGACUGUGUUCUUGAUGCAAUGCAAUCCAUUCCUGAAGUGUCCUUUGGAGACGGAGAAAGCUGGAAAAGCGCUUUAAACAUGCAGGAGUUUAAUGAACACAAGCGGUGCUUUAAAUCUGCCUUCAUUCACGCAGUACUCGUCUUUUCUACUUUAACUCUGUAAACAUGGACGACGCACCAAAACCAGAACGGUGCACUAUUUCCACCAGUGUUAUUUUUAUACACAUUUUUUAAGCUUUGUUAAAAUGUUAAUACAUAAUCUUUGUAAUAAAGUUGUACAUAUUUUGGAAAGUACAGACGUUGGUUGAUUUUAUUGUGCAUUGAAAAGCAUUUCAGCACACCAUUUCUAUAUAGCUUUGAUUGUGUUAAGCUGAUUCAGUGAUAUUUUAUAUGUUUACAGUCUCUCACUUGAAUCAUUUUGCUCUAAAACAAAGUCAGAUCUCAAGAAACGAUAUUUGUAAUGGUUGUUGCUUGAGCGCUGGACUGAAAUCAGCCGUCAGUUUCUUUGAACGUUGCUGCUUUUCUUUCUAAUGACAUGAAAUGAGUGGUUUUGAGGUAAGUGUGUGAGGCGGGGGAGAUGUUUACACGACUGACUCAAAUCUGCAUUUCAGGCCUUCACCUAAACGGCACAGUUACAGUCAGAGACGCUGCCAACGGAUGCUGCUUCACAUUGGUUAUAAUACACAGUGCCACUCAAAAGUUUGUGAACCCCUUGCAGAAAAUUUGAGUAAUUUUAACAAAAGAAGAGAGAUCAUACAAAAUGCAUGUUAUUUGUCUGUCCAUAUUUUACAUAAAAGAUGUUAGCAUUUAAUCCACAAGACAAAAAAAAAUGGCAGAAAUGGACCCCGUUCAAAAGUUUGUGAACCCCUUGGAGAAAAUAAAAUUUUAACAAAAUAAGAGAGAUCAUACAAAAUGCAUGUUAUUUGUUAUUUAGUGCUGUCCAUAUUUUACAUAAAAGAUGUUAAAAUUUAGUCCACAAGACAAAAAAAUGGCGGAAAUUAUCACCGUUCAAAAGUCUGUGAACCCCUUGGUUCUUAGUACUGUGUGUGGUCACCUGAUGAGCCACGACUGUUUUUUUGGUUUUGUGAUGGUUGUUCAUGAGUCCCUUGUUUGUUCUGAACCGUUAAACUGAAAACUGUUCUUCAGAAAAAUCCUCCAUGCUCUGCAGAUUCUUCAGUUUUUCAGCAUUUUUGUGUAUUCGAAGCCUUUCGGGAAAAGUCUGUAUGGUUUUGAGAUCCAUCUUUUGACACUGAGGACGAUUGAGGGACUCAACACCACUAUUAAAAAAGGUUUGAACAUUCACUGAUGCUCCAGAAGGAAACAAGAUUCAUUAAUAAUAUUUUAUUAUUAUUUUUAUUUAAAUUUUUUCAUGUAGCAAUGCCCGUUGGAAGCAACAGAAAAUACUUGCAUAUUUCCUGGAAAACGAUUUACCUUGAUUUUUAAGUUCCAAAAGUUAAUGGGUUGUGUUUCCUUCUGGAGCAUCAGUGAAUGUUUUUUAACAUCCUAAAAUACAUUUUCUAUAUAAAUUCUAUUUUUUAGAACCUAAGAGAACUAUAAAUAAAUAAAUAAUGAAAAAUGCCUGCAUGCUUUGAGAAUUUAUUCUGAAAAUGUGUGAUUGUCAUAAAGAUAAUAUGUUGUCAAAAUGAUCUUUUUUUCUUUAUGCAAAAAAUUAAUAUUUUUUUAGAACCUGAAUUGAAAAGUGU
rnacentral:lncRNA from 1 species